rnacentral:rRNA from 1 species
GUCUCUUUGUUUUACUUUAUAUAAGGAGUCGGGCCUGCCCGGUGAUUAAUAGAUUUAACGGCCGCAGUAUUUUGACUGUGCGAAGGUAGCAUAAUCACUUGCUUUAUAAUUGAAGGCUGGUAUGAAGGGUUUGACGAGGGUAAUGCUGUCUUAAUUAAAUUUUUUAAAAUUUAACUUUUAAGUGAAGAGGCUUAUAUUUGAUUAAUAGACAAGAAGACCCUAUCGAGCUUAAAAUGAGUUAAAAAUUUUAGAAAUAUUUAUAUAAGUUAGGAUUUGUUAAUUUUUUGUUGGUUGGGGUGACUAAGGAACAGUAGGAGCUUCUUUUAUUUUUUUUGAAUUGUGGUUGUUGAUCCAAUUAUUAUGUUGAUACUAGAUUUAGUUACCGUAGGGAUAACAGCAUAAUCUUUUUUGAGAGUUCUUAUCGAAAAUGGGGAUUGUGACCUCGAUGUUGGAUUAAAGUUUCCUAAGGGUGUAGAGGUUUUUGAGUAUGGGUUGGUCUGUUCGACCAUUAAAACUUU